rnacentral:rRNA from 1 species
CGGCGGACGGGUGAGUAACGCGUGGGCAACUUGCCUUACACAGGGGGAUAACAGUUAGAAAUGACUGCUAAUACCGCAUAAGACCGCAGUACCGCAUGGUACAGCGGUAAAAACUCCGGUGGUGUAAGAUGGGCCCGCGUCUGAUUAGGUAGUUGGUGGGGUAACGGCCUACCAAGCCGACGAUCAGUAGCCGACCUGAGAGGGUGACCGGCCACAUUGGGACUGAGACACGGCCCAGACUCCUACGGAAGGCAGCAG